CCUCCUGGUCGUCUUUUGGUCAUCGCGGUCGCCCGUGGUCAUCUUUGAGUCAUCGUGAUGGCGGUCGUUGGUCUGCGGAUGUUCCCCAUCGUCAUUGUUGUGGACUGCUCGCUGCCAUUCCAUCGAUUUGGCUCUCAUUCAGGCCUUGGCGGUCUGCUGCGUGGAGUUGGUUCUGGGGGCUUUAGCGAAAGUUUUGCCCGGUUUUCGCCGGUGCCAACAACGAUUGCAUUCCUUAACGUAGCUCACCUCGAUGAGGACAUUGUUGCGGCCACCAAAU
rnacentral:lncRNA from 1 species